CUGCCCUGCAACACCACCAGCACUUUUGGAGAUUCGGCAUCGGCUCCUCUAUCUAGUCGGCACCUCCCGCUCCCUCCAGAUUCUUCAAGUACUCAACACACCGCCCUAUUAGUGCAGCGAAAGAACACCACCAGCUGCCGUAGAACUGCCUGCCUCACUGCCCUGCAACACCACCAUCUGCCGUAGAACUGCCUGCCUCACUGCCCUGCAACACCACCAGCUGCCGUAGAACUGCCUGCCUCACUGCCCUGCAACACCACCAGCUGCCGUAGAACUGCCUGCCUCACUGCCCUGCAACACCACCAGAGCUUUUGGAAAUUCGGCUCCUCUAUCUAGUCGGCACCUCCUGCUCCCUCCAGAUUCUUCAAGUAAGUUAUGAAUAAAGGGAUAUUCCUUGCUUUUCAUUGGCGGCAGGGGACUGAAAGGGAAUGGCUGUCUCCAUUUGAACAGUAAAAAGCAACUCAGACACAGGGGGAAGAUAGAAUCUCCUAGAGCUCCAUGAGGCGUGAGAACCUUGCUUCUGGGGCAGCAUUGCUGAGGCGGGGCAAUGACCAGACGUUGGACCUUCAUGGAGCGACUCGGUCAAAGGUUGAACCUUUUGAGAGGAGCUUGAACUGAUAAUUCUGACUGGCUGAAAAGCACUGCCCUAAGGCAUUUCUGGAGUUAAUGGACUGCGUAUUCCCCAUUUUCCAGCAACAAUAUGGCAUGUGUGGAGUUAAUGGAAUGCUAAUUGCCCUUUUUCCAAGGAUCGUACCGGCAUGUGUGGAGUUAAUGGAA